UAAAAAAAGGAGUACAAGGAUGUGGAGGACCCCAAUGACCGGGUUUGCCUUGGGUCCUCAAAUGAGUAAAUACGCUCCUGCUAACAAUCACAUAAACUUUACUUCAUUAAUCAUGUGAUGGAAAUGAAGGGAGUCGAGAAAUUAAUUUCGAAAGGAUGGAAAAGACUCUUCAGAGUCAUUUUUGGUUGACUCAACACAUUAUUGAAGACCUUAUGUUGAUUUUACCUUUAAUUUGUCACUUUGACCACAACAUCUUCGCCCCUCAGUGAUGGACAAGUGAGUGUUGACUUGGAAUUAAUGAGUCACUAAUUUCUCAGCAGCACGUGUGAGAAUAGAAUGUUAUUCUAAAGCGAAUGCGGUUUCGGAAAAACCAAUCACACAGCCGUUUUUUUUGUACCGUAUGUCAAGUUUGAUCAUAUAAAAGUGGUCCUACUGCGUGGAAGGAUGAACAGUCCUUUAUUUCCAUACAGCACAGGUGAAAGGAACUGCUCUCUUAUUGGUCAGCUGGUAGCUGACCUGAAGCCAAAAGGUCAACGCUUCUGUGGAUGUGUCAAAAGACAGCAAUCAUGUGCAGCGCAAUGUGAAUGUGUUUUCCUCAUUAACUUGGCAAGGGUGCUUGUUCUAAUUAGUGGCACUGAGCUAUGGCUGGAAAAAGUGAGCUUAGGCAUGCGGUGCCAUCCAACGGACCUGCCAGCCCAAAGUGCUACCUGCACAUCCUGAUCCUAUGCAGCCUCAGUCCAGUGAGAGUUCAUCUCAAAUGGAUGGAAAUCAAACGCGGAGCUUGGCGAACAUCCUUUCGAAGGGGUACAGGUUGAAGGCAAGUGUACUGCUGAGAUCCUGCAGUAACUCCUCAAGGGACUGGACCCUGGAGAUGAUGUAAGGCCUGCAAAGGUCGCUGGCAUAUUGUGGGAUAUUGCUGCAUUCCAGAACACCGAGGAAGGUGAAAAUGUUCAACCUGCGAUGAGGAAAGAAUGGGUAGUUGCACCCCAACUUCUCCAAGAUGUCAAUGACAGCGCCCACUCAGACAGUUGCCUCCAGCAAGAUUACCUGCGAAAGCACGAUGGUGACAAGUCGGCUAUGGGGUCGCUGCAGGGACACAAGAGACAGCUGGGUUUCAAAUGGAGUGGGGAAGGAGGACAAAGUAAGAAGCUAAAACAAAAACUUACCACUUCCACACAGAAUGGGAGGAGAACUUUUUCAUGUCUGACAUGAAUCCAUGCAAUGUUGAGAAGAGAAGCACACCUACUUGACUUUUGCUAAGCAUGCCACUCACCUCCACUGUGACACAUCCCAGCAUCUGCCUGAGUGAAGAGGUCGUGAGCUGCAGCUGCAAGCAUGUGAGAGAUGCAUUCUCAUCCCACGGUAAAUAGACCUGCUAAUGUAAAUGGAAAAGUGAUGAAAUGGAGACAUAAGGAAGUUGGAAUGUAAACUAUUUAGAGUUGGACAUAUGUUAGGAAAAAUGAGUUACAGUAAUAUGAAUUUAUCUGUUUGUUUGUUUCUUGUCUUUCUAUAUGUCCUUCGUCCAUUUGUACUUCCCAUUCAUUCGUUACCCUGCCUACCCUGUUCAGGAUCAGAGGGCUCACAUAGACAACCAUUCCUACUCUUAUGCACAACUAUGGGCAAUUUAGAGUCUACAAUUAACCUAACAUAUUUUUUUGGGAACACCCAUGUCGAGUCCUGGAUUCAAAUCCAGACCACCUGGCUGUGUGGCCUGUGGCAUAAGUACUGACCACAUACUGUGUGUGGCGAGAUAUUAGCAAACAACAGAAAAUGUAACGUUGAAAGACCUUUUCAAAACAAGCACUCAGCUUUUUCUGAAAAGUACCCAACUGCAGAUGGGCGUAAGGGAGCGAUUUCGUAACUACUACGGAAGGUUGAGCAGAGCAAACAUACUUUCAAGAAGUGGAUGAAGGCUCCAAAGUGAGACAAGAAAUUAUAAUUAUUAAAUAUUCAUAAAAUGAAAAAAAUGCUCCCCCUGCAAAGUCAAAAACAGUCAACAAUAGGACCAAAAGAAUGGCAACAAACAUCACCAGUAGGCAAAUUGAUGACAUUCACUCAGCGCAAGCAUAUUGUGUUGCCUGUGAUGAGUCAAGUGAUGUAAAUAAUAUUGAGCAGACAGUACUGAUAAGCAGAUAUGUGAACUCUGAUGGGCUUUUUUAUGCUAAAGUUGGCCACGUUUUCUUUGAAUUUUACACAAACACGGGAACGACUCAAAAAAGCCAUCAUAGUUCAGUGUUCAAUUAUUUCAAAGUAGCCCGACACAUGCACCCUGCACUUCUGUUAGUUGAAUUCUGUUGUUGCAAGAAGCAAAGUGAUUCUUUUGAUGCUAAAGGUUAUCGACUCCUGAUAUCGGGUGUUCACAUGCAUCUCGAAAAGUAUAGAAGCAUAGCCAUGACCAUGUGAUACUCUUGGGGAAUUACCUAUUACUAAAAUCUGGCUUUUCCAUAAACUGUUUUAUGUAUGUUCAAUGCUGUUAUCCAUGUGGCAGUGAAGUCACAGUUUCUCAGUUUUGGCCACAGCUUGGAAGUAUCCACUUAACCUGACCAUAAUGAUAGGUCCAAUAUUCUAAAUCUUCAUGGAAACACAACAAACAAGGAGUUCUGCUAAUUUCCUACUGCAUGGCUCCAAAUAUUGAGGAAAACAACAUGCAUAUGAGACAUUCAUUUCACAAUUAAAUCACUACUCUGUAUUAAAUACAUGUAUGUGUGCUCCAUAGCAUUGCAUGACUUCAUGAUGACAUCAGUGCUUUACAAAUGCAUGGCCACCGUAUGAUGGGGUUCCCAAACAUCAAUAGGAUCCUGAUCCCUACAGCAUCCCUUGGCCUUUAAUCCAGAAUCUUGCUGUGGUUUCUCCAAUGAAAGAUGAUGGAAGACCAGGCAGCUCUCACGCUUCUAGUCUCGCAAACGCAUUUAAACCCCUGAGUGACUUAUUUAGACAGCACACCCUGUUAUUCCCCACUCCUCAAACUCACCACUGAUGUUUAAUCAGCAGGAAAAGACGCUUCUGGGGUCAGCAAAGCCACUGCAAACUAGGAAUUUAUAUUGAAAUUAAUAACCAGUGUGUCAUGACAAUAAUAGUGGAUCAUCCCAAUCAUUCGGAAAUGGAGGAAAAAGCUGCAAGGUUGUAAAUUUAUAUGUGGAUCACCACAGGUCUUUUGGAACUAUCGGGGUAUGAAAUGUUAAGCUAUGUGGUUAUGCACCAUGUCAUAAAUGUGGCAGUUGUUUGAGUCCCGUCAGGAAUAUGGAAGCAGUAUGUGAUUUAAUGGAGACAUUGGACGGUAAUGGUUGGUUGGCUUGUGUGGCUUGAAAUAGAAAUAGGAAGUGGAUGACAGCAUCCUCUGUAUCUGGUGUAGCUCAACUUUGGGGCUGAGGAAAGACUGACAGUUAGGUCUGACAGUUUAGACUGGGGUCAAGCAGGAAAUGGCUUUUUACGCUCCAAUCUUUUAUUUCUACAGUAUACGCUUAUUUAUACAGUAUACAUAUCAGUGAUGUGCGUUGAGGUUCAUGGCUGGUGAGGCACCGAUGCCUUUGGAGUUUUAAAAAAUGUUAAUAAAGGUUGCUCGUUACUCAUUACAAGUGGAUUUUCAUAGUCAAAUCUGAGUCAUUAGAUGUUGUCCAUAGUUGACUAAUAUUCAAGUGUUUUAGAGCAGAGCUAUUGGCAAUCCCGACAAACAGAUCUCAUGACAUCCCCAUCAGCAGUGUACUACAUCAGCAGUGACUUACCCUCCCAAUUGGUCCCGAGAGCCCGGUUCUGAUAGGCGAUCCGUGACGAGGAACGUAGUUCCGCUUAGUUGCCAGUAGAGAGUUUGGCCUCUUAAAACAAUAUGCGUUCAAAAGAGUAACACAUUUGCAUCAUAAAAAUACCCCCUCAAAAAAAUCGGACCUCACGAAUCGCAGCAACUAAGCGGAACUACGUUCUUCGUCACGGAUCUCCGGCCAGAACUGGGCUCACGGAAUCAAUUACUACACUGCUGAUGGGGAUGUCAUACAACUUCAUGUCAAAAAAUCGGAACUAUCCCUUUAAAAUUCACUGUCAGGAUAUAAAAUGAAGAUGGCGUAACGGCCUUAGCUGUUUUAAAUGACAUUCAGUGAUGUUCAACGAUGAGCCAAUGACGUCGUGAGAUAUGUAAGAAGCUGCUGACACAAGUUGCACUUCACUUUGUGGAGUCAUCUUUAACCUUUUCAAAAUACUUCCACACUUAAGAUGUUUUUUUAGUAACUUUUACGAGCCAAUAAGUCAGUCGAUGUUGACGGGCUUUGUAGCGCGCCUCAUCUCCUUGGGAUUGUGCCACGGAAGCGGGUGAUUUUACGAAUGUGUGCUAAGUCUAGGUCUUGUGUUAAACGCACACGUCAUUUUCAAUUCUUUAUUAGCACAAAUUAGGCGAGAUUGAUCGUCGGACCAGAUUCCUCCAAACUGAAUCGCCGAGUAGUCGACUAUUAUAAGACACCUCUACUAUCCCGAUCAGUGAAACACGAUAUGAUAAUGAAGUUAAGUCAGUUGUAUUAAACUGUGAUAUUACAGAAAAAGCUGAAUACACAUAAUCCUGCUCAACCAGGUCAAUGCUCCAAUGUGUUUGUUCGGAAAACACACUGGUGAAUGUCACCGUCAUCUUGAAAAAGCCCAAGUAGGACGUAAUUAAAACCAAAUUGUCGGUAAGAACGGUUAGUGAAUGUUUGUUGUUGUAAGAAUGAAAAAGUAGCCAGUAGCUUAUUUGAAAGCCAGAAUGAAAGUGACAUCCCAUGGAAGACGGUGUGCAGGGCUGCUUGUAGUGCAUUUCAAUGUGUUUAUUUAAGCUUUGGCUGCAUGCGGCUUCCACUUCAGAGUGAGUGUGGUGCCACUCGCUCUUGUGAAAUUCACCAGUCAAGAAUGUUUCCUCCGCACGUGACGACGGCCUCACACAUGACUGAGAGCCACAAGCAGCACUUUAGAAAGCAAAGAGCCACGGGCGCUUCCAUGAUUUCUUUGGAGUAUGCAAGGUCAUUGCCCACCUCCUUUCCAAACCAACUCCCACUCCACCCCCUUAUGUUUCCUCUCAUCUCCGUCUGGGAAAGGUGAGCAGCUAGGACUGGAACAGCAAGCACCAUUCAGAGGGGGAGGAGGAGGAAAGAUUUACACCUUGUCCUCAUCUUUACUGUACGGAGAUUUACGGCCUUCUCAAUGCAAAGCAGACUUGUUAACGCAGCAAACACUCUUGAUGAGCAACAGGUGAAUCACCCAUUUUGGAAUUUAUGAUAACACAGUUUACAGUUUAAAAGGCUAGCGUGAGUAGUAAAGGUUUUUGGCAAGAACCUGUUAUUCUAAAUAUCAAAAGAUCACCUAAAGCAGCUAUGCUGUACAGUACUGGCCCAUGUGCAAGUAGGCUCCGCAAAGGAACUGUUUUACACACUCCUAUAAUACACUAUUUUUAAACAAUUUGAAAUAAAUCCCAGAGGUCCCACAAUUGUGAACUCAACGUCUAGCCUUGAAUGAAUUUAGACAAAAGCGCGUAUCAUAAGCUCGACUGGGAACAGCCAUUUUGUGUCUGUAACAUUUAUGCUAAUGAACCGUGGAGUGUGCUCCUCAUACUAUUUUUCAACCUCAAUUCCUCAGGAGCAUUAAAAAAUGUGUUCACUGUUUAUCUUACACAACUCACACAAUGCUGCACGGUGGCCUGGUGGUUAGCCAGGGGUUUAUGUGCGUGGGUUUUCCUCCAGGAAGUCCAGUUUCCUUCCAUAUUCCAAAAAUAUGCAUGUUAGGUUAAUUGGAGACUCAGAAUUGGCCAUGAUUGUGAAUGGUUGUCUGUCUAUAUGUGCCCUCUGAUUGGCUGGCGACCAGUCCAGGGUGUACCCCACUUCUUGCCCAAAGUCAGCUGGGAUACCCCCAUGACCAUAGUGAGUACCAGUGGGAUAGGAAAUGGAUGAAUGCUCACAAAAAGUCAGGGAUAUUUGGCUUUCGUGUGACAUUUUAGGAUGAACCUGUCAUGAUCUGUGUUGUCGCUCUGCUGCCGCCUGUCUGCCUUGUGUUGCAGUGCAUGCGGUCCUGCUGAGGCGGAGCUGGCAGCGCACACCUGCGGCCAAUUAGUGCACCUCUUCUUAUGCUGAUAGUUUGCUUCUGCUCCGUGCCAGAUUGUCCUCGUUCCUCGCCUCGCCUCGCCUCGCCUCUGUCUUGUAUCCCGUACCCUAGCUUUUUCCUCUAGUUUUGGUCGUGAGUAUUACUCCUGCUUGGCUACUUCCAGCAGCUCCUUGUUUUGCAUUUUUCUUGCUAAUGUUAGUGUUACCUGCUGGCUUAUCCGCAUCCUUUUGCUGGCUGUCCAUUUUUGUUCUGCCUUUUGCCUAUGGCUUCGCCCUCUAUUUUUGUUGUCAGUAUUUGCUCCCAUUUUUUUGUAUGCUUUGUGCAUCUUUUUCCCUCUUCGGAGGCUAUUUUGUAUUAAACCUUCUUUGUGUGUGUGUGUGUGUGUGUGUGCGCUUCUCUGCAAACCCUGUUUUCGCCAGCUCGUGACAGAACCUAUAACUUACGGGGAUUUGACCUUCUCUACACUUUGUUUCCUUUUUAUUUCCAAAACAACAAAAAUGUCACGCUCUGUGUGACUUGUUGGACUUCUUGUUGUUCUGCCCAUUGUUUCCACCUUAAUUUCCUGUUUUGUGCUCUUAUUUUUUGCAUCUGUUUCCUGUUUAGUGCUAUAGUAGUUCUCCCUUCUGAAGCUGCUGAUCACAGCUGGUCCUCAUUAGUAAUUAGGAGGUUUCUUAUGGUGAGUGUGUGGAUUUGGCCAUUUGUGUGUGACUUUGAUGUGUUUCCGGGGCUUCUCCAGUCCACCUGCUGAAGCUAAUUAAACACUUUCACCUGCACUUCGUCUCACUAUCCUGAGGUCACGACCAUGUGCGAUCGUGUCAGAAUGAGCCAGCCACUGUGGGCCCCACAGAGCAGGAUUUUUGGAACUCACUUUUUCUUAAAGCGCUGCAUGCCAUGUGUGAGCCUUACACGCAAGAGGAAUCAGACAUGUUGAUGGUUGGUCCUGACGGCAAGCUUGACCCCAUCAACUGUGUUCCCCAGAACCACCGCUCGUGCUCCUGGGUGCUCUCGCAGCAAGUGCAAGCUUGAACCGACUCCAGCGGCCGCUCACACACAGCCCGCCCUCGAUGCGAACGCACGUCUCGGCUGGCCGGCUCCAGUUCCAAGUCCAAGUCAGGUCAGAAGUCGUUCCCCUCCUCCUUCCACUCCGGCACCCCUUCUAACUCACCUCCUGACGACUCUGAUGCGUGCUCUACGUCAGCUUCCAACUCCUCCAGUGCCUGCUCCACAUCAGCUUCCGACACCUCCGCUCCCUGCUCCAUGCCAGUCCAAGACCAAGGUCAAGCUUCCUCCUAUCCCGCCACCAUAUGCCUUCUCAGCCACCACUGCUUCCGGCUGCAAAUGUCAAGUCAACUCCAGUUCUCACUCCACGCCAGCCCAAAGCCCUGACACCCCCAAACGCAUGGCAAAAUGGGUUCCAGGGGGUCAGAGCAGGACGGACUUUUGGCCUUCCUCCAAGACUCCCACCGCCCUUCCCUGGCGUCUGCCUCACAUGGUCGGGCAGAGCCAUCAGACCUUUCUCCCUGUGUCUGUUGUCAAAAGAGAUGUUUGGAAUCAGUCUAGAAGUGGGUAGCUAGUACCCUCAGCCGUGCGACCGGGGACGCACCGCUCGCUCCUGCUCCACGCCAGACCGAGGCCAAGUUGCCUCCUGCUCCUGCUCCUGCUCCUGCUCCUGCUCCAUGCAGAGGCCGAGACUGGAGCUAAUUAAAGACUUUCACCUGCACUUUGACUGUCUCCGCAUCCUGGGGUCACGACCAUGCGCCACCGUGACGAUAAUAGUAUCAAAUUAAAGAUGUGAGCAGUGCUGAAUGGGCUCUUGUCCCACCACUUACAUCAGGGCCCACGCAAGUAGGUGAUUUUUUUUGUGUGUGUCUUUUCCUGUUGCUACUGGUUGACACUGACAAAUUCAGGGAGUGGUCGAUGCAUAUAGCUUCAGGUGUCGUCUUGAUCAUGCAUACCAAUCAUGAUGAUCGGACCACGUGGAUCAGAUCACGUUUACAUUGUUGUGGUGAAUUGUCAGACUGACCAUCAAAGUUUGUCGUCAUGCCCCGCGAACAUUCUAAAACGCUUUGCAAUUUGAUGUCAUCCAUCUGUCUAGUAUCCGUGAUUUUGAUUUGGGCUCAUUUGGUCAAAGUCCCUAGGAGGGGUUUGUCACAAUCAGUGAAAAUGGCGGCAGGGGUUAAUUAAAAAAAUAAAAUAAAAAUUAUAAGGGACCCUUAAAAUACCACAUUUUUCACAGGGUUGACUUGCUUGCAAAUUUUGAGUUUUCAUGCGAGCUUAGGCACCCAGAAAUACAAGGAAACACAUGAAAUAAUUUGCACCGCUAUGGCUCUGUGCUGGAGCCCUCAUGGAAGGAUCUCCAUUACGAUAAUGUCAAACAAAAUAGCAGUAGUAAAAACAAAGGAGUCACAAAAAAACUACACAAUAUGUUCGAAAAGGAGCACAUUUGUUGAUCAACAUAACUUUUUCAUCACAGAUUUUGUCUGUGGUGAUCUCCCAGUCAAGCUGACAUGAUCAGCUGCCUGCGGGUUGUGUGGGUCAUAAAUUGGUGCACUUUAGUAAAUCACUGUGAAGCUGGCAGCCAAUAAAACACUAAGAAGCCACUUUAAAGGGCGUGGAAGGCUUGUCUUCUGCCACUCACUUUCACUGCGCUGUUGCUUCCCUUUGUCCCCCCCCCCCCCCCCACCCAAGACUUGGCAACCAAAUUUUCAGGUUUAGAUCUGGCAACCAUGGUUGUGGUUUUGGCCAACAAACUCAUAAUUUGUCCCCUGUCGCGCCAUGUUAUGGUGGUUUUGAGCUCUCCAACUUAGUUUGCAAGUGUGGUCGCUGUGGCUAACAUGAUAUGGCAUUGAUAUAUUGCAUUUUUCCUCCCCAAAGCAAAUUAUAAUCAUUUAACCUCACAAUGCAUAUAUCCUGUGCAAGUUUUUAAAUGUACCACUUUAAGUGUCUCGUGCAAACGCAGACGACAGCGCUAAAGGUCACAUUCGGUUGGCGUUCACUGUAAAAAAAAAAAAUGAUGAGGGAGCCUGGAUGUCUGACUAAAGCUGCUUUCAGUUGCACGUGCAGCACACAGCAAUUCACCUUCCAGGUCAGUGUGCAUGUGAGAGCUACUCCUGAAGCGUGAGGCUGUAAUCAUGGUCUCUCCACUGUGUCUUUAGGUUGGUUUAGAAGGUUGGAUUAAGUCAGUGGCAGUACAACAUGAAACAGCCCUCUGCUGGUCACAGCAGAGCUGCACAUGAAUAGACUGGGGGCUAUUCUGGAUCAGUAGCCUCCUUGCCUUUUCAACUCUCUAAUCAAAAAUACAUAAAAGCACAUGUUCAUGUUUUUGUUGAUUUGAUGCUGGAAUGCAUUUCAGCACAGCUGCAUACACGCUCAUGGAAUGCAGCAUUGGGUACACUGCAGUAAAGAAUAACAGGUGGUGCCGCCAGGUAGCUGUAUUUACCUUUACUAGACUGUAUAGGGGCCGCACGGUGGCUGGGUGGUUAGCACACAGCCACACAAGCCACACAGUCAGGAGAUCGGGAAGAUCUGGCUUCGAAUCUGCGCUGGGCAUUUCUGUGUGGAGUUUGCGUGUUCUCCCCGUGUGUGUGUGUGGGUUUUCUCCGGGUACUCCGGUUUCCUCCCACAUUCCAAAAACAUGCAGGUUGGAAUUGAGCACUUCUGUUGGCGUGUUACGGUGUAAAUAAAGUCUAAAAAGCGUGAGACUCUGUUCAUCUGUCGAGACAUAAAGACGUUACUUACACGAUACCUUCAAGAGCUUUUUGCAGGUGGCUGAGUCUGCAUUAAUUUAGCACCAAAAUCAGGCAAAAAGGUUUGUCGUUCACAUUUUUUUUUGUCGUUCUUUCCAAGAAUUAAUGUUAAAUCUGAGGAUUUAUAAAGAGUCCAUUGUUCAAAUCGAGAUUUCCAGUGCUUUAGAUUGACGGACUCCAUCACUCUUUCAGCUGUCACCAACAGCUCCAAGUUGAUGAUAAAAAGGCCAGCUCAUUAAUCAAAUGUGUUUCCUUGUUUUGAUGGCUUCAGAAUAGCCAUUAUAGACGCUGACUGGACGACAUUGUGUUGCGUAUGAGUUCACGUCUCCCUUCGCCCCCUCACCCAAACACAGCCCCAAAUAGGCGGCCCCUCCCUCCCUAAGGGCCACUAAGCUGGGUGACAUGGCCGUCAAACAAAAUCUCGGAGCUUCCCUAAGUCUCGGUUGCCACGGGGCAACAUCAGGAAUGUCGCCGUGAGACAAAGGACGAUUACUGACCUGAUUUCUCCAUACGCUGACAUUUGUGAGUUGUUUGCGUCCUUGUAUGGGAAUUCUUGCCAUUGGAGCUGGUCUGGCGUGGACAAAGACAUAAAGACAUACCAAACUUUUCUUUCAGACAUCACACACAAAGGAUGUUGUUGCAAUCCUUGAAAAUCUCUCAAUCAGUCAAACUAGAAGUGGGUGUCCCAGAUCUGUUUACCACUGGUUUAUGCAGCAACGUAAUAAAGUAAUACUAAUAAUUAGGGAUGUCCCGAUCCACAUUUUUUGCCUUCCCAUCCGAUUUCUUUAUAGUCUUUUUGUAACAAACCUCUGUGAGUCACGUCCCUAAUCCAAAAAUCCUUCCAAUAAAGGAUAAAAUUGUAGUGCAAAAUACUUUUAGGGUAGGACUAAUCAUUUCACAUGGUUAUAAUCAAUUUGUGGUGUGAUUUAGAGUAUAUGACAUUUUUUUAACACUCUUCAGUGCAGUGGUAAUUUAUUGACGGUCCCUAGUGUAAACAACCAGCGGUUAGAGCAGCACUUCCCAAGCGAGCAGUGGCGGAGCCAGAAAAGUUUCAUCGGGGUGGCCAAGGUGAGACCAUUACUCAUAGUGGUAGCAAUAAGUUAGUAGCUGAAAUGUCUAGAUUGCCGGUGAGGUGGCCGAAGAGUGAUCAAGGGUGGCCACGGCCACCACUGGCCACCAUGUAGCUCUGCCACUGCGUUUGAGCUCCCCGCACAAUGGCACAGUCAGGCGGAACUACCGCUGUAGCUACGGAGCGGAAUAUCCAACGUCCAACGUGAAACUAACUUCACCACGGUACACCGCGGACGUGUCUGCGUGGUGGUGUUGCGCUUUCUUCUUCUUGCGGGCCGCUGGAGUCGAGUGGCAACCAGCUUUGAGGCACAUUAGUGCACCUACCAUGUUAGAGUGUGGCUCAGAGUUCCGAACGCAGCAACGGUAACCGCAUGGGCCCAAUCUGGUGGCAGAAACCAAUAUUUAUCAAAAUACAGCGGAUCGGCAGAUGAUCCCGAUCCUGAAGAUUGGAUCGGAACAUCCCUGAUAAUAAGAAGAAAUAAUAAUAAAGUUCAAGAUUAAAAAUGAGAUUAAUGUGAUUAAUGUAUGACUGUAAUUAAUGCUUUAAUUUCACACCCCUAUAUAAGUUUCACUUCUGUAUCUCACAGCAACUAUGGUGCGUUUAGGGACCGCCGAAUAAUGUGCGCAAUCUCAACAUUAUCAAUGAAGCCUAAAGACAUAAACAUGUAAAAAUGGUGUGUUUGUUUUGCUGUACAUAUAAUACAUACCUCUAUUAUCACAUAUUUUUUUAAUUAUUACCGACUUUGGAGGAAUGAGGUAUGGUUUGUACGGACAAAACAGCCUAUUUUCUGUUGGGUUUUUUUGUUUGUUUUUUUACCAAAUACGCAAAUCGGCGAACACUGAAUCACAAAUGUGCAGGAGUCCACUUUAAUAGAAACUGAAACAAUCGGUCCCUGGGUCAUACCAAUCUAGGCAAAAGUCUGAAAUAGAUGACUUGCCUUAUAUUAGUAAUAAUGACAUUUAUACAUGUGUAACCCGCUUGGUCCAGCCAGCCUCACGUUCCACCUGGCCUUGAACCCAGGGUCCACAGAUUGAAAGUCAAGAGUGCUAGGCAUCGACCCAAAAGCCCCCAGCUGUUACUCGAUAUCCAGGGCGACUCUUUAGGUGUCAGGGAGUGAGAUUAACCAACGUACUUCCGCACAGAAGCACAUUUUGUCAAAUGCUAAUCAUCUUGUCAACUCAUUUAGGUAGAAUGAGUUGCAUGGUUAUCCCGUAUGUGACCGCAUUGUCUAAGUAUCAGCUCAUGGCUUAUGUAACAUGUCUCCAAUGCCAAGUUAUGACAAUCUCAGGCAUUAGGAGACAUAAGGUCCUUGUUUACUGACGGAACAUUUCUACUUUAAAAUGACCCUUUGUUUGGGUCAUGAAUGUGUUUGUGUGUACUUACGUGUGGUGGUGCUUCAGUAGCUAAUUGUGUUGAUCCCAUAGUUAAUCUGCAUUAGACUCCCACAGUGGAACUUGACACUUUUUGGACUCCCGCCUAAAACCAAAUUAGACUGUACUCACUACUGCAAGGUGAAGCAAAGUAACCUUCUUUUGGUCAACUUCCACUUUGCUCCGAUGCGUCUAUGUGUGAAAGAAGUGUGGUGUCUUUUUUUGUGUGUACAUUAAAACAAAAAGCCCUUAAUCUUACUUAAGUGGAUUAUUUUUCAGGGACAAAACACUUUAUUUCCUGUUGCAGAUCAGAAGGUUCACGCUCAGUAAGCAUUCAUAGAC